rnacentral:rRNA from 1 species
UACAUGGGGUGCAAACGUUGCUCGGAAUCAUUGGGCGUAAAGCGCGCGUAGGCGGUUAUCUAAGUCGGAUGUGAAGCCCUCGGCUUAACUGAGGAAGUGCAUCCGAAACUGAAUAGCUAGAGUACGAAAGGGGUCGCGGAAUUCCCGGUGUGAGAGGUGAAUUCGUAGAUAUCGGGAGGAACACCGGUGGCGAAGGCGGCGACCUGGGUCGAGACUGACGCUGAGCGCGAAAGCGUGGGAGCAAACAGG